GCCGGGUGUGGUGGUGCGCACCUGUAAUCUCAGCUACUUGGGAGGCUGAGGCACAAGAAUCACUCGAAUCCGGGAGGCAGAAGUUGCAGUGAGCCGAGAUGGUGCCACUGCACUCCAGUCUGGGUAAUAGAGUGAGUUUUUGUCUCAA
ensembl:misc_RNA Metazoa_SRP Metazoan signal recognition particle RNA